rnacentral:rRNA from 1 species
UGGGGAAUUUUGGGCAAUGGGGGAAACCCUGACCCAGCAACGCCGCGUGGAGGAAGAAGGUUUUCGGAUCGUAAACUCCUGUCCGGAGGGACGAAGCAAGUGACGGUACCUCUGGAGGAAGCCCCGGCUAACU